rnacentral:rRNA from 1 species
ACGAACGCUGGCGGCGUGCUUAACACAUGCAAGUCGAACGGUGAAGCGCCUUCCUUUUUGGUGGGUGUGGAUGGGUGGCGAACGGGUGAGUAACACGUGAGUAACCUGCCCCCUUCUUCUGGAUAACCGCAUGAAAGUGUGGCUAAUACGGGAUAUUCUGGGUCUGUCGCAUGAUGGGUCUGGGAAAGAUAUUGUUUCGGUGGGGGAUGGGCUCGCGGCCUAUCAGCUUGUUGGUGGGGUGAUGGCCUACCAAGGCGGUGACGGGUAGCCGGCCUGAGAGGGUGGACGGUCACACUGGGACUGAGACACGGCCCAGACUCCUACGGGAGGCAGCAGUGGGGAAUAUUGCACAAUGGGCGCAAGCCUGAUGCAGCGACGCCGCGUGAGGGAUGGAGGCCUUCGGGUUGUGAACCUCUUUCGCCAGUGAAGCAGGCCUGCCUCGUUUGUGGGUGGGUUGACGGUAGCUGGAUAAGAAGCGCCGGCUAACUACGUG